rnacentral:rRNA from 1 species
UGCCACAGCCAUAUCACCCUGCAGCCCAAGACAUGGUUGCCCACUGAAGCUAAGCAGGGUUGGCCUGGAUGGGAGACCUCCUGGGAAAACUAGGUUGCUGUUGGAA